rnacentral:rRNA from 1 species
AUGAACGCUGGCGGCGUGCCUAAUACAUGCAAGUCGAGCGAACAGACGAGGAGCUUGCUCCUCUGACGUUAGCGGCGGACGGGUGAGUAACACGUGGAUAACCUACCUAUAAGACUGGGAUAACUUCGGGAAACCGGAGCUAAUACCGGAUAAUAUAUUGAACCGCAUGGUUCAAUAGUGAAAGACGGUUUUGCUGUCACUUAUAGAUGGAUCCGCGCCGCAUUAGCUAGUUGGUAAGGUAACGGCUUACCAAGGCAACGAUGCGUAGCCGACCUGAGAGGGUGAUCGGCCACACUGGAGCUGAGACACGGUCCAGACUCCUACGGGAGGCAGCAGUAGGGAAUCUUCCGCAAUGGGCGAAAGCCUGACGGAGCAACGCCGCGUGAGUGAUGAAGGUCUUCGGCUCGUAAAACUCUGUUAUUAGGGAAGAACAAAUGUGUAAGUAACUAUGCACGUCUUGACGGUACCUAAGCAGAAAGCCACGGCUAACUACGU